rnacentral:rRNA from 1 species
CACGGGGGGAGCAAGCGUUGUUCGGAAUUACUGGGCGUAAAGGGCGUGUAGGCGGUCUGGUAAGUGGGAUGUGAAAUGCCCCGGCUCACCCGGGGACCUGCAUCCCAAACUGCCAGGCUUGAGUAUGGGAGAGGAUGAGGGAAUUCCUGGUGUAGCGGUGAAAUGCGUAGAUAUCAGGAGGAACACCGGUGGCGAAAGCGCUCAUCUGGCCCAAUACUGACGCUUAGGCGCGAAAGCUAGGGGAGCAAACGGG